rnacentral:rRNA from 1 species
CCUACGGGGGGCAGCAGUAGGGAAUCUUCCACAAUGGGCGAAAGCCUGAUGGAGCAACGCCGCGUGGGUGAAGAAGGUCUUCGGAUCGUAAAACCCUGUUGUUAGAGAAGAAAGUGCGUGAGAGUAACUGUUCACGUUUCGACGGUAUCUAACCAGAAAGCCACGGCUAACUACGUGCCAGCAGCCGCGGUAAUACGUAGGUGGCAAGCGUUAUCCGGAUUUAUUGGGCGUAAAGGGAACGCAGGCGGUCUUUUAAGUCUGAUGUGAAAGGCGUCGGCUUAACCGGAGUAGUGCAUUGGAAACUGGGAGACUUGAGUGCAGAAGAGGAAAGUGGAACUCGAUGUGUAGCGGUGAAAUGCGUAGAUAUAAGGAAGAACACCAGUGGCGAAAGCGGCUCUCUGGUCUGUAACUGACGCUGAGGUUCGAAAGCGUGGGUAGCGAACAGGAUUAGAUACCCUUGUAGUC